CAAUAGCGUAUAUUAAUGUUGUUGCAGUUAAAAAGCUCGUAGUUGGAUUUCUGGUGGGAGCGGCCGGUCCGCCGUAAGGUGUGUACUUGGUUGUCUCCUGUCAUCCUUGUGGGAACUGCUCUGGCAUUAAGUUGUCGGGGUUAGGGAACACAUCGUUUACUGUGAAAAAAUUAGAGUGUUUAAAGCAGUCUUAUGCCGUUGAAUACAUUAGCAUGGAAUAAUAAGAUAGGACUUUGGCGUCUAUUUUGUUGGUUUGCACACCAAGGUAAUGAUUAAUAGGGAUAGUUGGGGGUAUUCGUAUUUAAUUGUCAGAGGUGAAAUUCUUGGAUUUAUGAAAGACGAACUUCUGCGAAAGCAUUUACCAAAGAUGUUUUCAUUAA
rnacentral:rRNA from 1 species